UCAGGGGUUCUACCCCUGCCUCCCUCAUACUUGUCACAAUAUGUGGCUGGUCUUAGUUGACCAUCUCCCCUUACCCCUUACCCCUUCCUCCCUCGUACUUGCCACAAUAUGUGGCUAAUCUUAAUUGACCGUCGCUCCCGUCGUCUACAUGUUCCGGGAAUUGGGGCUAAAUUACAGAGGCUAUUAAUUAUUUUCAGGUUCGCCUUCGGGAUUCAAAGUCUUUGCCGGCUUGCCCUUCAUGGAAUCAGGAGAGAUCUGGUUUGGAGAUUGCCCCUUUGGACUUCAUCUCGCGGUUGCCUGAUUCCGUGAUUCAUCACAUUUUAUCUUAUCUGCGUGCCAGAGAUGUUACCUCUACUGCAAUAUUGUCAAAGACUUGGAAUCGCACCUGGUCCACUUAUCCUUAUCUUGUAUUCCACUUUUUCUAUGAUAAUUCAGUCACAGAACAAGAGCAAGUUCUUGGUGACUUGCAUAUAAAAAAGCGAAAACAUGAUUUCUUGAUUCUUGCUGGAAAUUCCAUUUGUCGGCGCUUGCAACUAGAUUUUUGCGUACAAAGAUUUCAAUUGUAUAUUGACUUCCCUGAUAUGGAGUUGUUGAUGCCUAAUAUGGACCAAUGGAUUGGUAUAGCAGUAGACAGGACUGCUCCAGAACUUGCUGUUUGCAUUGAUAGUUUGUCGGGCUCAGAUAGACAUUUUUAGCGUUCCGCAAUCGGUUUUGCUCGCUAGCUCGCUAAAAGUUUUAAGCUUAUGUGGUUGUAGAUUUGAGAGUGGAUUGGAUAUCAAACUUCCACAUCUACAGAAGUUUUCUUUAUCUCAUUCUUGUUUCACCGACAAGUUUUUAUUUCACCAAAUUCUCUCUGGGUGCCCCGUGAUAGAGUAUGUGAAAGUGUCAUUUUGUAAAUGGAUGGACACACUUCUCUCAGUUUCAAGUUUAUCUCACUUGAAGUAUUUUGAGUUCCUGUACUGUGAUGGGAUUGAUACUGUUCAGAUAGAUGUGUCUGAUCUUCAUACUUUUUCGUUUGCACCAUCCUUGGGAAACUGGCCCAGAAGUGUUAACCUGGCUACUUGCAAAGCACUGAAGGAGUUGAAACUCAGUGGGGCAGGUGACACAACUAACUUUGGGCACCAGGCGCUGACAUUUCAAAUCCAGGCCCUUGAAGCCUUAGAGUUUCGAAGUUGCCAUGGGUUGGGGAGUAUCAGAAUUUCAAGCCAAAGGCUUCAGAGACUGGCCUUUAGAGAUUGUCGCACUUUUCAGGUGCUGAAAUUGACACUCCAAAUUUAGAGUUUUUUUAAUGCUGCAACUGUGACAAUCCUUUCAUUCCCAUCAAAGCCUCUGAUGAUAUCAAGAUACACUUAAGAUUUUCCCUUAGUGGAAAAACGGUUGAUUGGGUGGUUAAACCGAAUCAAUUUUUGUCGAGUUAAGAUUUUUUCAGGAUCUCAAGUUUAUCGUCUAUCAUCAUUCUAAGGUACACUCUUUUCUAUUCCUAUUCAGCUUUGGUGAUCUUUAGUAGUUUUAUCCUCUUCUUUCCUUAGAAUGCUAUUGACUUCUUGAGAAUGAAGAAGUGCAUGUGCACAGCUAUGCUUUUAAGCGCAUAUUGCAUUUUCAUUUUUGGAGCCUAUUUUCAUAGGUUUCUGGGGAUCAGAUACCUCCAGUCACAUGUUCCUGCAUGGAUCUCUGCAUAACAGAUAUGUUAUACCAGUUUGGUAGUAUUUGAGUCUCUCUUGGAUGCAAAAGAAAAAGGAUGAAUGCAUACUGCUAUGUACUUUCUAAUUGCCUUGAAUCCAUCUGUACAGAUGAGAAAAGUAUGUUAUUCACCUUUUACUUUCUUAGACUUGAACUUCAGAGAAAUGUGUCUUUUUGAAACAUUAGAUUAUUCCUAUUUUAUUGUCUUUGAUCUCGAUUUUUCAACUUGAUGCUUAGUUCCUUGAAGGCAAUUUUUAAAUAGGGACCAUUGUGGUCAUCUUGCAUCA